GCCCAAGUAGCUCAGUGGUGGAGCACAUCCUUGGUAAGGAUGAGGUCGGCGGUUCAAUCCCGCUCUUGGGCU
rnacentral:tRNA from 1 species